UCCCUGGUGGCUUAGAGGGUAAAGCAUCUGCUUGCAGUGCAAGAGACCCAGGUUCAAUCCCUGGGUUGGGAA
rnacentral:tRNA from 1 species